rnacentral:sRNA from 1 species
GCCUCAGACACACACACCAGCAGCUACACCUACACGCUGACCAUCACAGGCACACAGAGGCACAUCCACCUCACAUCCACCUCAUACUUGUGUACUCUCAGGGUUCAGUCUUUCAACCUAUCCCUCUCUGAUCUGUGCCUCCCAAUACCUUCCAAGAUGUUUACAGAGACCCUUCUUCCUGUGCAGUUAGGAGUGUAAGACAAGAGAGCCCCUACUUCAUGGGGCAGAUCAAGAGCUGAGACCAAAGAUGGUCUAUGUUGCUGACCUUGUCCUGUCCUCCUACUGUCUUAAACUAUGAUCCCUGCUGUGGUCACUGAAGCCUUUCCCUGUGAGCAGUGGUGUGUGAAAGCCAGGCGUCCCUCUGCCUGCCCACUCAGUGGCAACUCCUGGGAGCUGUUCUGUCCUUUGUGGAGCCUCAGCAGUUCCCUCUUUCAGAACUCGCUGCCAAGAGCCCUGAACAGGAGCCACCAUGCAGUGCUUCAGUUUCAUUAAGACCAUGAUGAUCCUCUUCAAUUUGCUCAUCUUUCUGUGUGGUGCGGCCCUGUUGGCAGUGGGCAUCUGGGUGUCAAUCGAUGGGGCAUCCUUUCUGAAGAUCUUCGGGCCGCUGUCGUCCAGUGCCAUGCAGUUUGUCAACGUGGGCUACUUCCUCAUCGCAGCCGGCGUUGUGGUCUUUGCUCUUGGUUUCCUGGGCUGCUAUGGUGCUAAAACUGAGAGCAAGUGUGCCCUCAUGACGGCUGAGCACUUCCUGACAUUGUUGGUAGUGCCUGCCAUCAAGAAAGACUACGGUUCCCAGGAAGACUUCACUCAAGUGUGGAACACUACCAUGAAAGGGGUAAGGUUGGCUGGGGGAGGUUUUAGGGUGGAGAGAAAGAAGCAAGGCCCCACCUCCACCCUCAUCUUGUCUCCAGCUCAAGUGCUGUGGCUUCACCAACUAUACGGAUUUUGAGGACUCACCCUACCUCAAAGAGAACCAUGCCUUUCCCCCAUUCUGCUGCAAUGACAACAUCACCAACACAGCCAAUGACACCUGCACCAAGCAAAAGGCUGAGGACCAAAAAGUAGAGGGUUGCUUCAAUCAGCUUUUGUAUGACAUCCGAACUAAUGCAGUCACCGUGGGUGGUGUGGCAGCUGGAAUUGG